rnacentral:rRNA from 1 species
AACGAACGCUGGCGGCACGCCUAACACAUGCAAGUCGAACGAUGCCUUCGGGCAUAGUGGCGCACGGGUGCGUAACGCGUGGGAAUCUGCCUUUCGGUUCGGAAUAACUCAGGGAAACUUGAGCUAAUACCGGAUAACGUCGCAAGACCAAAGAUUUAUCACCGAAAGAUGAGCCCGCGUAGGAUUAGCUAGUUGGUGAGGUAAAGGCUCACCAAGGCGACGAUCCUUAGCUGGUCUGAGAGGAUGAUCAGCCACACUGGGACUGAGACACGGCCCAGACUCCUACGGGAGGCAGCAGUGGGGAAUAUUGGACAAUGGGCGAAAGCCUGAUCCAGCAAUGCCGCGUGAGUGAUGAAGGCCUUAGGGUUGUAAAGCUCUUUUACCCGGGAAGAUAAUGACGGUACCGGGAGAAUAAGCCCCGGCUAACUCCGUG